UACGGGGGGGGCAAGCGUUGUUCGGAAUUACUGGGCGUAAAGGGCUCGUAGGCGGCCAACUAAGUCGGAUGUGAAAUCCCCAGGCUUAACCUGGGAACUGCAUCCGAUACUGGAUGGCUUGAAUCCGGGAGAGGGAUGCGGAAUUCCAGGUGUAGCGGUGAAAUGCGUAGAUAUCAGGAGGAACACCGGUGGCGAAGGCGGAUCUCUGGGCCGAUACUGACGCUGAGGAGCGAAAGCGUGGGGAGCGAACAGG
rnacentral:rRNA from 1 species